AUGAUCGAGCAUGGGAUUUUCCCUUCGGUCAUGGAGGAGAGCGAUGAGGUGCCAUCUUCGGCCUUCAUCCACGGUGACGACAACGAGAUGAUUGAUCAUGGGAUUUUCCCUUCGACCACGGCGACGUAUGAUGAAUUAAGUGACUUAGGCCACCAUAUGGAGAGUGACAGCGCCUUCACCACUAGCCCCAUAUAUGAUAAGUUGCCACAAUUCCCCUGUGAGGAGAGCCACAACCCCCACCACUUGAGUGAGAUGAGUGACUCCACCAUAUGUAACAUUGAGUGCACCUACCUUGAGGGAGUGAGUGAGCCACCACCACAUAGAGAGAGUGAGGUAGUUGAUAAGGCAUGUGAGGCCAUUUCGAUUUCUAACAACUUAACCUCUUCCUCUAUUGUGUCUUCUCAUUUGGUGCUAGGUCCCAUAUAUGAUGAUGCGCCGAUCUUCGAUGACUUCGUCAUCCCUUUGGACAAGACGAUGGCCAUGGUGGAAUAUGAUGCACCCCCCACAUGGUUCCAUCAGGAUGAAGAUGAUGACCACCAUUUGGUCUUUGCCACCUCACCUACACCACUUGAGUGGAACGACAAAGGUAACAUGGGUGAAGGUGAUGCUCUUGUCCCACUAGUGACAUUCUUGACAUUGAUUGCUUGCAUGAUGUUGAUCCACCUAUUGUCAUGCUUCAUGCUAGUUCGACUUCCCCAUGCAAUGAUUUACCCAUUUAUGAUGAGUUUGAUGAUUGCCAUGUCGAGUCUAUUCGUCGUGAUGCCAUGUUACAUAGGAUUUCUUGUGAUAAUUCUCUCGGUCACAUCAUGUUUGACAAUCCGCUUGACUUGUCAUAUGCUAUGCAUGAGAUCAACAAUAUGUCAUAUUUGCAAUCUCAUCGUAGUGACUAUGCAUAUGCCAUCAACAUAA
rnacentral:rRNA from 1 species